GGCACUGUAGCUCAGUUGGUAGAGCACUUGCUUAACACUUGGUAUUCGCAAGUUGUCCUCGGUCGAGCCCGGGCAGAGUCA
rnacentral:tRNA from 1 species